CAGGAUUUGGCGAUAGAUUGAACAUGAGGCUUGAAGGAGAGGACGGAGUCAAAGAGAACACCUAGGCAGCGAGCCUGCGUGGUGGAGCUGAUGGUAGCACCGUUGACUUGGAGGGAGACAGACACAGGAGUAACAACACUUGAGGGAGGAAAGACCAGAAUUUCAGUUUUGGUCAAAUUUAGUUUAAGGAAGUGGGCAGCCAUCCAGUU